AGGAAAAAGCCACAAAAGAAUUGCUCCUAUCACACUCGCCUAGAGGCUUUCCCCAUCAGGAGUGUUGUAAGAGAAAGAGUGAGAAACGGCAAAGCAGAAAUGCUGGUUGACUGGGAGCCCUGUCCAGUAUGGUAUGUAUUCUUCUGUUUUUCUGCUUUAUCAAUUAUUGCAUGCAUUAUUAAUUUACUUUAACAUUGUUAAUUUUUUUUUUUUAUU